rnacentral:lncRNA from 1 species
GCUCCUGAAUCCAAAACCCAAUCAUCAAGUGGACUGUCUACUGCAAGAAAUAAUGCAUCAUGUACCUCUUCUGUUACAGCAUUAGCAGAAUCAUCUUCAUUCUUCUUCUUAGGGCUUUUGCAUUGCCUUUUAAAGUGACUUGUUUUCCCACAAUUCCAGCAUUGUACUUAUUGGCCUGAUCUAGAUUUGCUUCUGUUCCGAUUAAAAUUUCUGGAAUUUGAUCUACCCUGAUUUGAAUUUCUGUUAUUACCUCUGCCUCUUGUCUCCAGGUUUAGGGCAGAACUAGAUCCUGAGGUUUCACCUGCAUCUCUUCGGCGAAUCUCCUCAGCCAGAAUUAAAUCUCGUAUAUCAUUGUACUUGAGCUUUUCCUUUCCCGUAGAAUUGCUUAUUGCCAUCCUCAUUGCCUCCCAACUGUUUGGCAAAGAAGCCAAGACGAUCAGAGCACGAAUCUCAUCAUCAAAAUCAAUU